rnacentral:rRNA from 1 species
GACGAACGCUGGCGGCGCGCCUAACACAUGCAAGUCGAACGAGCGAGAGAGAGCUUGCUUUCUCGAGCGAGUGGCGAACGGGUGAGUAACGCGUGAGGAACCUGCCUCAAAGAGGGGGACAACAGUUGGAAACGACUGCUAAUACCGCAUAAGCCCACGGCUCGGCAUCGAGCAGGGGGAAAAGGAGCAAUCCGCUUUGAGAUGGCCUCGCGUCCGAUUAGCUAGUUGGUGGGGUAACGGCCCACCAAGGCGACGAUCGGUAGCCGGACUGAGAGGUUGAACGGCCACAUUGGGACUGAGGCACGGCCCAGACUCCUACGGGAGGCAGCGGUGGGGGAUAUUGCACAAGGGGGGAAGCCCUGAUGCAGCGACGCCGCGUGGAGGAAGAAGGUCUUCGGAGUGGAAGCUCCUGUUGUAGGGGAAGAUAAUGACGGUACCCGACAAGGAAGUGACGGCUAACUACGUG